rfam:Mustela putorius furo unplaced genomic scaffold scaffold00053, whole genome shotgun sequence.
GCCUCUCUCUAUCACCCUGGUCACACCAGAUCUCAUCUGACCUCAGAAGCUAAGCAGGGUCAGACCUGGUUAGUUACUAGGAUGGGAGACC